UUGGCUCAGAACGAACGCUGGCGGCGUGCCUAAUACAUGCAAGUCGAGCGAAUGGAUUAAGAGCUUGCUCUUAUGAAGUUAGCGGCGGACGGGUGAGUAACACGUGGGUAACCUGCCCAUAAGACUGGGAUAACUCCGGGAAACCGGGGCUAAUACCGGAUAACAUUUUGAACCGCAUGGUUCGAAAUUGAAAGGCGGCUUCGGCUGUCACUUAUGGAUGGACCCGCGUCGCAUUAGCUAGUUGGUGAGGUAACGGCUCACCAAGGCAACGAUGCGUAGCCGACCUGAGAGGGUGAUCGGCCACACUGGGACUGAGACACGGCCC
rnacentral:rRNA from 1 species